CCUACGGGCGGCAGCAGUGAGGAAUAUUGGUCAAUGGACGAGAGUCUGAACCAGCCAAGUAGCGUGAAGGAUGACUGCCCUAUGGGUUGUAAACUUCUUUUAUAUGGGAAUAAAACGUUCCACGUGUGGGAUUUUGUAUGUACCAUAUGAAUAAGGAUCGGCUAACUCCGUGCCAGCAGCCGCGGUAAUACGGAGGAUCCGAGCGUUAUCCGGAUUUAUUGGGUUUAAAGGGAGCGUAGGUGGAUUGUUAAGUCAGUUGUGAAAGUUUGCGGCUCAACCGUAAAAUUGCAGUUGAAACUGGCAGUCUUGAGUACAGUAGAGGUGGGCGGAAUUCGUGGUGUAGCGGUGAAAUGCUUAGAUAUCACGAAGAACUCCGAUUGCGAAGGCAGUUCACUGGCCUGCAACUGACACUGAGGCUCGAAAGUGUGGGUAUCAAACAGGAUUAGAUACCCCAGUAGUC
rnacentral:rRNA from 1 species